GGCGAGGAACCAGCGAUGGUUCCAGAUUUCGCCUUGAUUCCCAUGGGGUACACGCAGUUGCCGUAGUAGCCUUCCUGCGGCAGCAACCCCCGCAGCAGGUGGCGGGUGUUGGCGGCGAAGCCGAGGUGCACGUCGACGUGGGCGUUGAAGCAUAUCGCCCGCGUCCGGCACUGCCAGGCCAUGGCCGUGACCACGUCAAAGGUGGAGCACUUCUGGCCCCUCUCCCUCGAGAACUGGUUCUUCACUGCGUCGAUGUGGACGGAGGAGAUGUCGAACACGGAGUUCUCGAAGUUGAAGGCCUUGAAGGAGGGUAGUGGAAGUCCUGGCGAUAGCUUCGGCGGACUGGGGAUGGCGUCCCUGCACCAGACUGGGUAGACGACGGGACGAGCGUGGCCUCUUGCGAUCUCGGCGACUGCUUUCAAGAACUGGGCUGCUCCGAGGCCGUCGAACACUACGUGGCUCAGUCGGGUGCCCACUGCGAACCCGCCGCAUGUGAACUCCGUCACCUGAACAAUCAAGAGAAGACAUGGCAGCCGAAAUAAUUGGGUGAUAUGCAUACCGUUGCUUUCGGAAGUAGCGUAAUGACACAAUGUGUCACGUUCGGCUUGUGAAAGACAACCAUGCAUUUUACGUGAAGCAGUAUUACGUGAGCCUACAUAUUUGGUUGGAGUCUCAUGACUUCUUGUAAGCUCCUCGCAUUGCCUUCUCUCUCUCUCUCUCUCUCUCUCUAUAUAUAUAUAUAUAUAUAUAUAUAUAUAUAUACUCUCUAGAUUAAUAGAAUGGGUUUGAUCCAUGAUUAUUACAUCGGUUUUAAAAUCUCGAUAUGAUGAUCUCAAGUCUUGUAUUUUUCUGCUUCUUUGGCAGAAUUAAUGUCAUAAUUUCUUUCCGCUAUUAUCCCAUAGUAGUGUUAUAUUCUAACUUAAUACGUCAGAAAUGCUGUAAUCUUACACUGCCGAAGCUGAGGAAAGCGUGCGUACGUACUUGCAUCAUCAUGAUCAAAUCUUCCUCUUUCACUUCAGCAGGAGCGAAUGGGAUGAGCUCCUCCUUGGGCAGCACUAACGGGCGCUCCAAGUUGUUGACAUCUUUGAGACUGCAAUCCACGGAGGCCUCGACGAACCACACGCCUUCGCCGGUGCAGGCGACCUCGGGCUCACCGGGGCUCGGCUCGACGAUGCGGCCGGCGACUGGGUAGUAAGGGACGAGAGCCCGGGACAGCGCCGCCUUGAUUGCCUUCGCCGGCGCCAGGCCUUUCUGGAACACCAGUAUCGUGUCCACCAGGACCCCGACCGCCGCAAUGCGGUCCAUGCAAGAGAGGGGAAGGCGGCCGGACGGCGUCGGCUCGGCGGCGACCAAGAGCUCCGGGGCUAGCUUGUUCACGGAAAAGCUCAUGGUUGGUACAACUAGCUGCUUCGAUUUCUCAGCUUUACUCGCUCUGCCGUGGGGUGGUGGUGGUGGUUGGCUUUACAUAUGUAUACAUGCAGAAGGGGAUGGGUGCGCAAUGAACCUGCUUGUUGAGUAUGGGGCUCUCCACCCGAUCGAGCCUGUUGAGCAUGGAAUACGUGUGUGUGUGUCACACCAGUUUGGUUGUGUGGGUAGGCGAGUUAGAAGAAAUAAUGAAUGAGAUUGUGCAGAAUUGAAAAAUCUCAGUUGAAUUGAAGUUUAUCUCUUUUAAUUAACAGAAAGAGUAUGUUAUGGCUAAUCAUAGAUAUUUCUCUACCUUAUAAUAGAUGUGGAAAAGAUAAGAGCAUUCCAUCUAUUCCUAAUCAUGUCAACAUUAAUUUCUAAUCAUGUCUCCUACUUAUAUCAAUCUUUUUCUAUCAUCAAAAUGAUUUUAUAUAAAAGAUAUCUUUUUCUUUGCUGAAAAUAUUUGCUACCUAGAUUUGAUGGAAAUGAUUAUUACAAUGAAAGCUAUUUUGGAAAUUGACAUUAGCUGGUUAAUCUUAUAUAGGUGUUUAUCAAAUCCUCAUACACUAUCUGAAAAGGAUGAAGCAAUGAUAGAAAACAAAUCAUGAUUUAUAAUAAAAUAAAGAUGAAAAGUUCUCAUAUGUAUAGCAGAGUCUCUUGAGAUUGUUGAUACCAAACUUGUGCAAAAGUAGGAUUUAAAUUAUGGUGUUGUCACUAAUAUAGCAAUUGAUAAUGUGGGUUUCUUCGAGUAGAUAGUUUUAUUUUUAUUGGAAGCAAAAAGUCUUUUUAUCCCCUAAUACAAAAGAAAUUACAAGUUCAGAUAACUUAGAUCCAUGAAAAUUUAGAAAAUGAUGAUGAUGAUGAUGUUAACACGAAGAAUGCUGUUAUUCAAUACUCAAAAGUUCCAAAGCCGAAUGAACUUUUAUAAAUAAUUAUUUUAAUUAUAUUGAUCAUAUGUAUGUUUGGAGAUUGUCUCAAUAAAUCUGAUAAAAUUGGUUUGAGAUACAUAAAAUUUUACACCAAAAUAUAUCAUGGGUGAAUUUUUGAAAAAUAUUUAACACAUUAGAUUUUUCACAUAGAUUUAAAAAAAAUUAUAGAAUAUUUUGUUUUCAUAAAUGAUUAUUUUUUCUUUGUCAAUCACUAUCCUCCAACGUGCCUUUGCCCGUAGCCCUUGUCGACCACACUCCUCUUCUCUCCUAGUUACUUGUGCCUCCUCAUACGAGCUGACAAUAUAGGACACCUCCUUCUCUCGUCGCCUGCACCUUUGUAUGAGGGUAUCAAACAUGAUCGAUCUCCUCGCGUUAUAUUUAUUGUUGAUACUCAUUGUUUUAUGCAAAUGGGAUAUUUAUAUUACUUUGAAUAUAUAUAGAAGUGCUCAGAUCAAAAACCUAAUCUAAAUAAAAUCGUUACCGUAAGGAAGUUCCCUGAUGCAUUUUUUGGAUAAUUUAUCUAAAUUAUCUCCCAAUAGAAAAAGUGAAUAUACUAUUGAUUUGACUAUUCAGAAAAUAUCAAUAUUUAAGCUUCCUUAUAUAAUGACAAUACUUGAGUUAGUAGAGUUGAAUAAAAAGUAAAGGAGAUCGAUAAAAUUAUUAAAGGAUUUAUUUUUAACCAAAUAAAGUCAAUAUUGUGGUUAAUGUAUUUAGUAAAAAAUCUAUAAGUUUUAUGGUUGAACUAAUUGUAACUCAAUAGGAGUUUUUUAAACAACCUUGUGUGUUAUGAGAAAAGUAUACGAUUGAUUUUUUUUUAUUUAUGACAUCUAUUCAAGUUUGAUCUCAUCUAACAGAUCUAAUAAAUUAAAUAAGUAUAAGUACCAUAUCCAUAUUUGAUAUUCUUAAAAAAUAACAUGAAAAAAAGAGGGUUUGAAACCUAAUUUUCAAAAUAAUGAGGAUACAUAUUAAAAUUAGAGAUAAAUUAUGUAUCCCUAAUGACGUUAAGGAUUUCCUUAGUGCUUAUGUCAUUGAUUGAAAAGAUGAUUGAGAUAAAAAAAUCUUAAUUAAUCAAACUAUUCUUUUAGUUAAAGUGAUUUAGCAAGAAUAUUUACUUGGAAGCUAGAAUAAAAAAUGAAGAAGGCUUACGUGGUGGGGGUGGUACAGACUUGCCAAUCUUUCUUUAAGUAUAGAUUAAAGAGUGAAGAAUUAUGAGGGUGUACAGACUUAAUGUUGGAGCAUAUGGGUAGUCCAGUUGAGCACGAAGUGAUAGAACGAGGCUGUGCAGACAUGCAAAUCUUGCUUCAUGUCUAAUCUUAAUUGAAUUUUUUUGUAAUUUUACUCGAGGGAAUAAGGAUUUAAUUGGACUGUGUCACAUUUAUUAGCAUCACAUGUUUUAGAUCACUUGUAGAACAACAUGAACAACAAGAUACAGGCUGCGGAUCGAAAGGCUGAAGUGACUGCAUCAACUGUUCCUUCAAGGCAGGUGGAGGGAGGAUGGUUGCCGUCAUGCUAAUUAUGGACAAAGUUCAUCGUCUCUUCGGUGAAGGCCGGUAGAUGUUCCUUUUGAACACAUCGUGUCAGCAACCUCACGCCCUGCUUAGGCUUGGACGGCUGCAGGUAGAUGCAGGAAGCGACGAAGUUGUGGUCGUCGUUCAACGGAGCGACAUGAGUCGGCUCUCCCCACCCAUAGUUCACAUCUGAGAACCCCACCCGGCUCCAAUCCGACACCACCAGCGUCCCGUACUCCAGCGGCACCUUGUCCGGGUCGGCCUCUGCGUCCCCCAUCAUCCAGUCCAAGAACUUGGUGGACAUCCUCUCCUUGGCGUCCCGGAUCAGCUCGAUCACCUCCACCGGCGAGGAACCAGCGAUGGUCCCAGCGGUCGCCUUGAUUCCCAUGGGGUACACGCAGUUGCCAUAGAAGCCUUCCUGCGGCAGCAGCUGGCGCAGCAGGUGGCGGGCGUUGGCGGUGAAGCUGAGGUACACGUCGGCGUGGGAAUCCAAGCUUAUCGCCCUCGUCCGGCACUGCCAGAUCAUAGCCGUGACCACGUCGAAGGUGGAGCACUCCUGGCCCGCCUCCCUGCAGAACUGGUUUUUAACCGCGUCGAUGUGGUCGGAGGGGAUGUCGAACACGGAGGACUCGAAGUAGACGACAGCGGGGGCGGGUGCGUGUCGUUGCGAUAGCUUUGGCGGACGGGGGAUGGCUUCCCUGCACCAGACAGGCUCAACGAGGGGACGAGCGUGGCCUCUUGCGAUCUCGGCGACUGCUUUCAAGAACUGGGCUGCCCCGAGGCCAUCGAAUACUGUGUGAUUGAAUCUGAUGUCCAUUGCGAAUCCACCGCAUGUGAACUCCGUCACCUGAAAAAGUAAUACAGCGCAUAACGGUAAAAAAAAGUCUCGCGUGAGCAUUAAAAUUUAGGCAGCAUGCUCUUCAUCAUCUCCUAAACCAGGUCUGUGUGGCUGUAUGCCGCGUGUUCUUGAAUCAGAGAUAAAGUUGGAUGAGACACAAUAAUAAAACUAAUAAUAAGAACAAUAAAGGUGAUGACUGAAAACGGUGGCACGUUCGACUCGUGAAAUCUGCCGCAUGAGCCUAAUGGCUUCUUGUACAAUUAGUCGGCAGUAGCUACACGAUGAGCAGAGCUAGCUCCUGACACCCAGAAAACAUCUUUAGAAAGGAGCCGAUAUGAACGAAAGGCAGGUAGCUCCUAAAAGCAAGCCAACUUGAUUGCAAUACGUGUGUCUGUGUCAAAGCAAGCCAACCGGGGAGCGGCUCCACGAUUCGCCCGGCGACGGGGUAGUAGGCGACUAGAGCGCGGGACAGCGCCGCCCUGAUGGCCUUCGCCGGCUGCACGCCUUGCUCGAACACGAGUAUCAGGUCGAUGAUCAAUCUGACCACCGCGGUGAUAGAAUGAGAGAAUGAAGUAUGAAAUGAAAAGGAUAAAGCAAAAAGGCACACUUAUUCGUAUGUUGAUGCAUUUUCGGUGUAACGAUGAAAUAGUUCUUGACCGUAUGUAGCAGAGGAGUGGCAAGUGAAUGACUCAUGACAAUGGAAUGCCAUUGAUGUUGCUUAGAGAGGGAGUCAUGUACACGUAUGGUUACGGUAAAAGUUAUCUUAAGACUUCGUAAAAGUAUCGUUAAAAGUCUUCUUUUUUUUUUUGACUUGGUAAAAAUCGAUUAUAACCAAGUCUCCGAUUUGCAGCUACAAAUUAGGGAUUGUUUAGUGUUGUUUAGAUUAAUAUCAUGUGUUAGCAGGUAGGUGACGCAUAAUAUUUAUUUCCUUGUAUGUAUGUCAUACAUGUCGUUUUUACACGGUUUAUAAUGAUUCAAGAGGAUGUCACACCUGCUGCAUGGUAAUGACGAAGAUGACUUGCAGGCGGUGGAUAGUAGCCCGCUCUCAUUGUAGUUCUAGGUAAAACUUCAUCAUCUCUUCAUGGAAGGCGGGUAGAUGAUCCUUUUCACAGCAUCGUGUCAUCAACCUCAAGCCCUGCUUCGGCUUGGGCGGCGACAGAUAGAUGCAGGACGCCACGAAGUUACUGUCGUCAUUCAACGGAGUGACAUGGAUCGGCUCUCCCCACCCGUAGUUCACCUCUGAGAACCCCAUAAGUCUCCAAUCCGACACCACCAGCGUCCCGUACCCCGGUGGCACCCGGUAAGGGUCCUCCUCCGCAGUCUCCCCCAUCAUCCAGUCCAAGAACUUGGUGGAUAUCCUCUCUUUGGCGUCUCGUAUCAGCUCGAUCACCGCCACCGGCGAGGAACCUGCGAUGGUUCCAGCUUUCGCCUUGAUUCCCAUGGGGUACACGCAGUUGCCGUAGUAGCCUUCCUGCGGCAGCAACCCCCGCAGCAGGUGGCGGGUGUUGGCGGCGAAGCCGAGGUGAACGUCGACGUGGGCGUCGAAGCAUAUCGCCCGCGUCCGGCACUGCCAGGCCGUGGCCGUGACCACGUCGAAGGUGGAGCACGUCUGGCCCGUCUCCCUCCAGAACUGGUUCUUCACUGCGUCGAUGUGGUCGGAGGGGAUGUCGAACACGGAGUUCUCCAAGUUGAAAGCCUCGAAGGAGGGUAGUGGAAGACCUGGCGAUAGCUUCGGCGGACUGGGGAUGGCGUCCCUGCACCAGACUGGGUGGACGACGGGACGAGCGUGGCCUCUUGCGAUCUCGGCGACUGCUUUCAAGAACUGGGCUGCUCCGAGGCCGUCGAACACUACGUGGCUCAGCCGGGUGCCCACUGCGAACCCGCCGCAUGUGAACUCCGUCACCUGAACGAUCGAGAGAAGACACGGCUGGGUGAUGUACAUCCUGUUGAUUUUGGAAGUAGCGUAAUGCAAACAGUGUCACGUUCGGCUCGUGAAAGCCAACCAUGCAGUGUCUUACAUGAGCCUAUAUAUGAAUCCACCUUCAUUGCCAACACUUACCACAUGAGUCAGUCAGAUUAUAUAUAUUAAGAUAAACUUACGUCUUAAUAAAUUUAACUUUUUAGAUUAAAUUAAUUUCUAAUAAGCGCUAAUCAUAGAAUUGAUUCACGAUAGUUAUCUAGAUAGUUGUUAUGUUCUAAAUAUGAUUUAGAUUAUGACUCAUGAUGGGAGAUAAUACCUACAUUCACUUAAUAGGUAGUUACCAUCAGGUACUAUAAAUAUGAUCAUAGUUCAUAAACAAGAAGAGGUAUGUACUUGGAAAUAUUUUAUAAAUGUUCUAUGACUUACAUCUUGUUUAAUACUAAAUCAAUUUUCUUGAUCGAAAGCAUUCUAUCUUAAUUGCUUUGUAGUAUUCUAUUUUUAUCGUUCUCUAUCUCCAACAACUCUUAAUAGAAUGAGUUUGAUUCGUGACUUAAUAAACUUAAUCUUUUAGAUUAUGUAGACUACAAGACUCAUCAUCCAUUUUAAAUUAUCGAUAAGAUGAUCUCCAGCGUUCUUUCUUUCAGAUUCUUUGUACAGAAUUAGUGUCAUAGUUUCCUUCCGCUUAUAGGAUUCUGUCAUAUUCAAACUAAUUUAAUUAGUACCUCAGAAGAAAUGAUGUUAUCUUAACGCCGAUGCCGAGGAAAGCGUGUAUCAAAACAUACGUACCUGCAUCAUCAUGAUCAAAUCUUCCUCUUUCACUUCAGCGGGAGCGAAUGGGAUGAGCUCCUCCUUGGGCAGCAGGAGGGGGCGCUCCAAGUUGUUGACAUCUUUGAGAUUGCAAUCCACGGAGGCCUCAACGAACCACACGCCUUCGCCGGUGCAGGCGACCUCGGGCUCGCCGGGGCGCGGCUCGAAGAUGCGUCCGGCGACCGGGUAGUAAGGGACGAGAGCCCGGGAGAGCGCCGCCUUGAUGGCCUUCGCCGGCGCCAGGCCUUGCUGGAACACAAGUAUCGUGUCCGCCAGGACUCUGACUGCUGCAAUCCGGUCCAUGGAGGAGAGCGGGAGGCGGCCGGACGGCGUUGGCUCGGCGGCGGCCACGAGCUCCGGGACGAGCUUGUUCACGGAAAAUCUCAUGGUUGCUACAGUUGCUUCAGUGCCUCAGCUUCAGAUGCUCUGCCAUGAGGCGAUGUUGGUGACCAUAUAGUGAGAGAAAGGAAGGGGAUGGUGUCAGGGAUACCGCUAUCUAAUAUUAUCUAAUCUAGUCAAACGAGAACGUUAGAUUCUCUAAAUUAUUUACAAGUCUACAGUGUGAGUGGAAUCUUCUCAUUCUCAUGGGGGUACCAAGUCAAUUCGAAAGGGUUUUCCUAUUGGCGUUGACGAAUAGGUGUCACCAUAAAAUAUUAAAGGCGAAAACUUAGUUUCUUCUUUAAUGUCCAUUUUGGCACUUAGCGCCAUAAACUAAGUUCAUCCCACGGAGCUCCAGCCGGGGCCGCCGAGGUUUGCUUAUUCACGGAUAAGCUCAUGGUUGCUACAGCUAGCUGCUUUGAUUUCUCGGCUUACAGGCUCUGCCAUGAGGUGGUUGUGGUGGUGGUGGUGGUCAUUAUAUAUGUAUUCAUGCAGAAGGGGAUGAAGCGCAUUUGACCCGCUCGGGUAUGGGGCUCUCCACCCGACCCUGCUGCUGAACAUGGGACGCGUGCGUCAGACGCUGGAGAAAGUGCGUCGGCGAGUUAGAAGCAAUGAUUGACGAGGCCGUGCAGACCGGCGAAUCUCACUCGAAUGAGGGUGUUGGACAUCCUGGCCGCACACCAUGUCCCGUUAGUCACCUCACCAGUUUGUACAAACGUCUGUUCUCUCUCUCUAUAUAUAUAUGUAUGUGCUGUCGCUGACGUUGGAUGCGUGCGUAUAAAUCAUACCGAUGGGGAUUUUGGAUAGGUGAGUGAGAACAAGAGAAGAAUUGCGCCGUCUGUACAGACUUGCCAAUCCCACUUUCAUGUAUAAACGAAAUUGAAGUGUAUCUCUUUCUGUCAACGAAAAGAGAGUAUUUUGUGACUUCCGCCGAAUUCAUUAACAUCUAUCUGCAUGAGCAUGGAAUGUUGGAGCAUAUGGGUAGUCGAGUGAAGAACAAGUGAUGAAUGAUGCUGUGCUGAUUUUUCUGACCAUUUGCAGUAUUCAUUGGGUAGUAAAUGUUUAAUGCACCACAUUAGCUUCCCCACAAUAACAUAUUGUCUUUACUUCGUGUGACUACCACCCUAUUGGGUUGAUAGCUAAGGUGGACUUUAUCAACAUAUAGUUUACUUCCUCUUAAUCUAAUCAUAAUUUAUAUUAGGGGAGUGUGGUGGCUAUUAAAAUAAGAUAAAAAAAAAGACAGUAAUAAGGUGGUUUUUAGUAGCCAUGAGAUUCCAAAGAAAAUGAGAAGAACAAGACAGAAAAUGAAACGAAAGAAAUGGAAGAAGACAAGGAUAACACAAAGUGACUAUUCUCAAUCAUCCAGUAGUGCUUUCAUCUCAGGUUAGAUCAGAUCUAUAGUAGAUUCUUACUGUGAUUACUUAGAGAGAAUUAGGAAGGAUUUAGAUAUUGUGCACAGUGACGUGAUCCUUUAUCCUAGUUAUUCUCUUGUGAUUGUUGCUAAGAUUUUGGGCAAGAGAUUGAGAUUUGUAUAUUUAUUAUUAUUAUAAUGGAUUAUCUCUAGUUUGUCCCGUGGUUUUUACCCUUCACAUUGAAUGAGUUUGCUUGCUAAUAUUUAUUCAUAUACAAAAAUUAUUUCUCUUUAUAUUCCAUCAACUGGUAUCAGAGCAGGGUUAUGAUGAUUUAAUUUUUGUAUUUGAAGGAGGCCAGUAGUAUUUCUUAUAUGAUUAGUUUGAAUGAAAAUAAUUAGAUGAUAUGAAAAUCAAGAAUCGAAGAUAUCUUGUAUUGCAAAGAUUUGUAUGGACCUUUGCAGAGAGAUAGUGCAAAACCCACAACUAUAUCAGAUGAUGAGUGGAAGAUGUUAUAUCAAAAGACAGUAGGUUUAUUCGACAGUGGCUUGAUAAUAGUGUCUUUCAUCAUGUUUCUACUGAAAUUUCUACAUAUUCUCUUUCGAAAAAGUUGGAAAGUCUCUAUGAAAGAAAAACAGUUGACAACAAAGCUUUUUUGAUAAUAGUGUUGUCACCAUGAGUCAAGUAACAAGCAUUUUAUUGAAUAAGGAGUUGAUAAGAAAGAAUUCAGUAACAUCUAAAAAUGAUUCACAAGCACUUAUCUCAGAGAACAGAGAAAGGUCAAAGUCUAGAAGCAGUUCACGCGUGGGUAUGAGCAAAUCAAGAUUAAGAAAAGAUAUUGUUUGCUAUAAUUGUGGUGAGAAAGGACAUUACAAGAACCAAUGUAAGCAACAUAAGAAGAGCAAGAAAAAUGGAAAAGAAGUGGAGUCUACAGAGUCAAAAAAUAAUAUCACAAUUAUAGUGUAGGGUGGUGAUUAUUUGAUUUUGUCUUAUUCUGAUAAUAUUUUUUUUGUGUUUAUUAGGAUCUUAAGUGGGUGACUAACACAGGUGUUUCUUAUCAUGCUAUACCAUGGAGGGAGUUUUUUGCUACAUACAAGUAUGAAAAUUUUGGUGUUGUCAAGAUGAGCAACUACGGCAUAGCAAACAUCAUUGGCAUGAGUGAUAUGUAUUUAAAGACCAACAUUGGUUGCAAAUUAGUGCUUAAGGAUAUGAGGCAUGUGAUUUGACUUUGCUAGUCAUAGGUGCCCAGUUAGCUAAUCACGUGAGUGAUGACACGUGUGACUUGACACGGAAUCUUUUUACUUAUUAUAUUUUAACAUUUAUCAUUUUAUAUUGACUGUUGCAUAUAUACAUGUAUAUAUUGUGAUGUCUUUGGAUCUGUGCAAUAUGAAUCAGAUCGUGAUGAGAUCACGAUAAUGAGACUGAUUCACUUUUAAACACAUAUCCUAAAUAAUCCCGGUCAUAGGUUACUCGAGAGAGACAUCGAGAUAAUCGUAUAAACUGGUGUACUGUAUACCCAUCCAUAUGAUGGAUGCAGUUGGUCUCAUAGCUGCUUGUGUGAGGACACUAGGGAUACAGUACAGGUGCUCAUUAGAGAAUGAGUUCACUGAUUGAUCCGCUUAUGGAAUGCUGGAUGGUUAAUGAUACCUUAUUGUCAGAUAACGAUUCCGUAGUCCUAGUGGUGUAUCUUGUCCUUAGAUUUGAGAUACCAAGGAUGUCCUAUAUUAGUGCUCCGCUCUUUGAUACCAGACUUAUAUGUUUGGAUGUCCCAGAUCUAGUACAGUUGGUCAUUGGGAGUAACAGUUGACCUUACGAGAGCUAUUGAGUAUCGAUAGAGGAUCAUCCACUCUUGGCGUCAUGAGAGGAGCAUCCUAUGCGUUCUUGCUCAGACAAAUCCCUGGCCAUGGUCAUUCGGAUUGAGAGAGAAAGAGUUAUCGGGAAGAAUCCAAUUAGAGCAAGACUCGAGUAGAAACUAUAUGGGUCUGAUAGUACCAUGCCCGAUAUACGAUCUCUAGAAUAUUAUCUCAGUUGAGAAAUAUCACAUACUCAUUUGUAGAGUAUCGUCGCCCCCAAGAUUUCUUAACAUGUUUAAGCUUUGGAGGUGAACCAUCUAUGUUGACAGGUUACACAGAUGUAGAUAUGGCAAGAGAUAUAGAUACGAGGAAGUCCACAUUAGGAUAUGUACUUACUUUUGCAAGAGGAGAUGUGUCAUGACAAUCCAUAUUACAAAGGCGUAUUGCUCUCUCCAUCAUAGAGACAGAAUAUAUUGCUGCUACAGAGGUUUACAAAGAAAUAUUAUGGAUAAAAGAAUUCUUACAAGAAUUGGGACUUAAACAGGAAACUAUAUAGUGCAUUGUGAUAGUCGGAGUGCUAUCCAUUUGUGUAAGAACCCAAUGUUUCAUUCCAAGUCAAAGCAUAUAGAUAUCAGAUACCACUGGAUUUGAAAUGUAUUGAAGAGAAAUAGUUGCAGUUUUAGAAAAUUCACACAGAUGACAACGAAGCAGACAUGCUAGACAAAGAAUUUACUAAAAGAAAGACAGGAGAUAUACUGAUAGCUGGUCGGCAUGGCUUCACAUUGAGGAGUCAUAGGACAACCCUCCUUAUGGGCUGAAGGGGGAUGUUGUUGGGCUGACAGCCCAUAUUCAGCCCAAUGUGAGCUUUAUCAGCCCACAACUCAUCCCCUCUCAACAUAACCCUAAUUUAUAUUAGAGAGGGUGUGAUGGCUCUAAAAAGAGGCAGAAAAAAGCAGUAGCAAGGUAGUUUUUGGCAGUCACAGGAUUCCAAAGAAAAGGAGGAGAACAAGGCAGAAAAGGAAGAAGACAAGGAUAACACAAAGAGAUUGUUCUCAAUCAUCUAGCAGUGCUUUUAUCUUAUGUUAGAUCAGAUCUACAGUAAAUUUUUACUGUGAUUACUUGGGAAGAAUUAUGGAGAAUUUAGAUAUUGUGCACAGUGAUAUGAUCUUUGUAUUCCAAUUAUUCUUUUGUGAUUGUUGCUGGAGUUUUGGACAAAAGAUUGAGAUUUGUAUAUUCAUUAUUAUUAUUAUGGAUUAUCUUUAAUUUGUCCUAUAGUUUUUAUCCUUCAUACAUAAAAAUUAUUUUUCAUAUAUAUUUUAGUGUUCUAUUUUAUUGUGAUUCCAUUUAAUUCCACUGCAUGUUAUAUUAUGCUAAUAUUUAUUUAUACACAAGUUAUUUCGACACCUAUAUAAGAGGUACUACGAGUGCUUUCAACUAAAGCUAAUAAUUAUGAGUUCUUUCAACUAAAGCUAAUAAUUAUAGGAGCUUAGCCGAAAGCUGAAACGCCAAAGGGUUUUAAAAGCUAUAGGACAUUUAUUGCUUUGGUUAACAUUAUCUUUGUAUGUGGUGGACUUCAGAGAGAUGCUUCUUAAUCAUUAAUUGUUCGGGAAAUGAGUAAUGUGGUCGGUGUAGUGCUGCUACCGAUGAGUCACAAUGUUCAUCUAUGAACAUUUCAGGAAAGCUCCGGCAAGCCGUGCGACGUGCAAACCUGUUGAUCUAUGUACGACUUCCACGUAGAACAACAUGAGCAACAAGAGAUAGGUUGUAGAUCGCCAUGCAUGUACAACUGUUCCUUCAAGGCAGGUGGAGGGAGGAUGGUUGCAGUCAUGCUAAUUAUGGACAAACUUCAUCGUCUCUUCGGUGAAGGCCGGUAGAUGUUCCUUUUGAACACAUCGUGUCAGCAACCUCACGCCCUGCUUCGGCAUGGACGGCUGCAGGUAGAUGCAGGAAGCGAUGAAGUUGCUGUCGUCAUUCAACGGUGCGACAUGGAUCGGCUCUCCCCACCCAUAGUUCACUUCUGAGAACCCCACCCGGCUCCAAUCCGACACCACCAGCGUCCCGUACUCCAGCGGCACCUUGUACGGGUCGUCCUCCGCGUCCCCCAUCAUCCAGUCCAAGAACUUGGCGGACAUCCUCUCCUUGGCGUCUCGUAUCAGCUCGAUCACCUCCACCGGCGAGGAACCAGCGAUUGUCCCGGCGGUCGUCUGGAUCCCCAUGGGGUACACGCAGUUGCCGUAGAAGCCUUCCUGCGGCAGCACCUGGCGCAAAAGGUGGCGGGUGUUGGCGGCGAAGCCGAGGUGCACGUCGGCGUGGGGGUCCAAGCCUAUCGCCCGCGUCCGGGACUGCCAGAUCAUGGCCGUGACCACGUCGAAGGUGGAGCACUUCUGGCCCGUCUCCCUCCAGAACUGGUUCUUCACCGCGCUGAUAUGGUCGGAGGAGACGUCGAAGACGGAGGUCUCGAAACGGAAGGAAG
rnacentral:lncRNA from 1 species